rnacentral:rRNA from 1 species
UACGUAGGGUGCGAGCGUUGUCCGGAUUUAUUGGGCGUAAAGAGCUCGUAGGCGGCUCGGUAAGUCAGGUGUGAAACCUCCAGGCUCAACCUGGAGACGCCACCUGAUACUGCUGUGGCUAGAGUCCGGUAGGGGAGCGUGGAAUUCCUGGUGUAGCGGUGAAAUGCGCAGAUAUCAGGAGGAACACCGGUGGCGAAGGCGGGUCUCUGGGCCGAAACUGACGCUGAGGAGCGAAAGCGUGGGGAGCAAACAGG